rnacentral:rRNA from 1 species
CAUGCCGUAAACGAUGAUUACUAGGUGUGGGGGGUCUGACCCCUUCCGUGCCGGAGUUAACACAAUAAGUAAUCCACCUGGGGAGUACGACCGCAAGGUUGAAACUCAAAGGAAUUGACGGGGGCCCGCACAAGCAGUGGAGUAUGUGGUUUAAUUCGAAGCAACGCGAAGAACCUUACCAGGUCUUGACAUCUAUCGAAACCCUAAGAGAUUAGGGCGUGCCCUUCGGGGAACGGUAAGACAGGUGG